rnacentral:misc_RNA from 1 species
GAUGAAGAACGUAGUGAAAUGCGAUAAGUAAUGUGAAUUGCAGAAUUCAGUGAAUCAUCGAAUCUUUGAACGCACAUUGCGCCCGCCAGUAUUCUGGCGGGCAUGCCUGUUCGAGCGUCAUUACAACCCUCAGGCCCCCGGGCCUGGCGUUGGGGAUCGGCGGAAGCCCCCUGCGGGCACAACGCCGUCCCCCAAAUACAGUGGCGGUCCCGCCGCAGCUUCCAUUGCGUAGUAGCUAACACCUCGCAACUGGAGAGCGGCGCGGCCACGCCGUAAAACACCCAACUUCUGAAUGUUGACCUCGAAUCAGGUAGGAAUACCCGCUGAACUUAAGCAUAUCAAUAGCGGAGGA